rnacentral:rRNA from 1 species
GCGAGGAAGCAAUCCCAUAAACCGUGGCUCAGUUCAGAUCGUAGGCUGCAACUCGCCUACGUGAAGAAGGAAUCGCUAGUAAUCGCAGGUCAGCAUACUGCGGUGAAUACGUUCCCGGGCCUUGUACACACCGCCCGUCACACCAUGGAAGUUGGCCACGCCCGAAGUCGUUACUCCAACCCUUGUGGAGGAGGACGCCGAAGGUGGGGCUGAUGACUGGGGUGAAGUCGUAACAAGGUAUCCGUACCGGAAGGUGCGGAUGGAUCACCUCCUAA